rnacentral:lncRNA from 1 species
AUUGCACAUAAUGAAUAUUUAAUUUGUUCAUACUGAAUCGUCACUGGUAAAUAUUUCAAACAUAAGACGGAUGAGAACAUAUAGAAAAGUAUGAAUUAUGUAAGUUAUGCAAAGUAAAAUGAGCUAGAUAUAUGGACUGCAAUAUUGUUGUUGUUGUGCUGGUAAGAAUGAGUGAACAAUUAUGCUUGGUCUAUGUAUAGGCAAAAUUCACCCUUUUGACCUUUACGAGCUUCGUAU